GACAGAGGAGCCAAGCGUUGUCCGGAUUGACUGGGCGUAAAGCGCACGCAGGCGGAGCAGCGCGUGGGGUGUGAAAGGGGGCCGCUUAACGGCUCUUGGCCAUCCCAUACGGCUGCUCUGGAGCCAUCCAGAGGUCGGUGGAAUUGCCGGUGUAGUGGUGAAAUGCGUAGAGAUCGGCAGGAACACCCAGGGGGAAACCAGCCGACUGGGGAUGUGCUGACGCUGAUGUGCGAGAGCGUGGGGAGCGAACCGG
rnacentral:rRNA from 1 species